rnacentral:rRNA from 1 species
UACGAAGGGUGCAAGCGUUACUCGGAAUUACUGGGCGUAAAGCGUGCGCAGGCGGUCUGUUAAGACCGAUGUGAAAUCCCCGGGCUUAACCUGGGAACUGCAUUGGUGACUGGCAGGCUUUGAGUGUGGCAGAGGGAGGUAGAAUUCCACGUGUAGCAGUGAAAUGCGUAGAGAUGUGGAGGAAUACCGAUGGCGAAGGCAGCCUCCUGGGCCAACACUGACGCUCAUGCACGAAAGCGUGGGGAGCAAACAGG